rnacentral:rRNA from 1 species
GUUUGAUCCUGGCUCAGAAUGAACGUUGGCGGCGUGGAUUAGGCAUGCGAGUCGUACGAGAACCCGCAAGGGGGAAAGUGGCGAACGGGGUAGUAAUGCGUAGGUGACGUGCCCUGCGGUCGGGGAUAGCUUAGGGAAACUUAAGGUAAUACCCGAUGACACCAUGAGGUUUGAAUACCAUAUGGUCAAAGGUGUGAUUCCACCACAGGAGCGGCUUGCGUGGUAUUAGCUAGUUGGUGAGGUAACGGCUCACCAAGGCAACGAUGCCUAGGGGAUGUUAGCGCAUGAUCCCCACCACUGGGACUGAGAUACUGCCCAGACACCUACGGGUGGCUGCAGUCGAGAAUCUUCGGCAAUGGGGGAAACCCUGACCGAGCGACGCCGCGUGUGGAUGAAGGCCCUUGGGUUGUAAACCACUGUCAGAGGGGAUGAAGUGCUAGAGAGCUAUCUCUCUAGUUUGACAUAGCCUCAGAGGAAGCACGGGCUAAGUUCGUGCCAGCAGCCGCGGUAAGACG